GUCCCAGUUCGGAUUGCAGGCUGCAACCCGCCUGCAUGAAGCUGGAAUCGCUAGUAAUCGCGGAUCAGAAUGCCGCGGUGAAUACGUUCCCGGGUCUUGUACACACCGCCCGUCACACCAUGGGAGUCGGUAACGCCCGAAGUCAGUGACCCAACCGAAAGGAGGGAGCUGCCGAAGGCGGGACUGGUAACUGGGGUGAAGUCGUAACAAGGUACC
rnacentral:rRNA from 1 species